AUUGAACGCUGGCGGCAGGCUUAACACAUGCAAGUCGAGCGGGGGAAGGUAGCUUGCUACCGGACCUAGCGGCGGACGGGUGAGUAAUGCUUAGGAAUCUGCCUAUUAGUGGGGGACAACAUCUCGAAAGGGAUGCUAAUACCGCAUACGUCCUACGAGAGAAAGCAGGGGAUCUUCGGACCUUGCGCUAAUAGAUGAGCAUAAGUCGGAUUAGCUAGUUGGUGGGGUAAAGGCCUACCAAGGCGACGAUCUGUAGCGGGUCUGAGAGGAUGAUCCGCCACACUGGGACUGAGACACGGCCCAGACUCCUACGGGAGGCAGCAGUGGGGAAUAUUGGACAAUGGGGGGAACCCUGAUCCAGCCAUGCCGCGUGUGUGAAGAAGGCCUUAUGGUUGUAAAGCACUUUAAGCGAGGAGGAGGCUACUCUAGUUAAUACCUAGGGAUAGUGGACGUUACUCGCAGAAUAAGCACCGGCUAACUCUGUGCCAGCAGCCGCGGUAA
rnacentral:rRNA from 1 species